CAACAGCGCCAACACGUUGAAUGCGUCAGUCCCCAAUGGAUCACUAAAGUCAAGCAACGUUGCGCGUGGUUAGAAAACAAAUGGGUGACCAUCUGAGCACUCGUGUGCUGCUGA
rnacentral:rRNA from 1 species